CAAAAAAUAGUUUAAUUUAAAAUAUUAAUUUUGGGGAUUAAUGAUAUAUAUAUAUAAUUAAAUAAGUAUAUUUUUUUGA
rnacentral:tRNA from 1 species